rnacentral:tRNA from 1 species
GGGCGGGUAGCUCAGUGGUAGAGCGCCUCCCUUACAAGGAGGACGUCGCAGGUUCGACCCCUGUCCCGCCCACCA